rnacentral:rRNA from 1 species
UACGUAGGGGGCAAGCGUUGUCCGGAUUUAUUGGGCGUAAAGAGCUCGUAGGCGGUCUGUCGCGUCGGUCGUGAAAACUUGGGGCUUAACCCUGAGCUUGCGGUCGAUACGGGCAUGACUGGAGUUCGGUAGGGGAGACUGGAAUUCCUGGUGUAGCGGUGAAAUGCGCAGAUAUCAGGAGGAACACCGGUGGCGAAGGCGGGUCUCUGGACAGUUCCUGACGCUGAGGCACGAAGGUCAGGGGAGCAAACGGG